UCGGGAAUUUUGGGCAAUGGGCGAAAGCCUGACCCAGCAACGCCGCGUGAAGGAUGAAGUAUUUCGGUAUGUAAACUUCGUAAGAAUAGGAAGAAUAAAUGACGGUACUAUUUGUAAGGUCCGGCUAACUACGUGCCAGCAGCCGCGGUAAUACGUAGGGACCAAGCGUUGUUCGGAUUUACUGGGCGUAAAGGGCGCGUAGGCGGCAAUUCAAGUCAUCUGUGAAAUCUCCGGGCUUAACUCGGAACGGUCAGAUGAUACUGCUUUGCUAGAGUGCAGAAGGGGCAAUCGGAAUUCUUGGUGUAGCGGUGAAAUGCGUAGAUAUCAAGAGGAACACCUGAGGUGAAGACGGGUUGCUGGGCUGACACUGACGCUGAGGCGCGAAAGCCAGGGGAGCAAACGGGAUUAGAUACCCCCGUAGUCCCUGAGCGGGCUGGCAAGGCGCAU
rnacentral:rRNA from 1 species